GUCAGGCUGGCCGAGCUGUCUAAGGCGCAAGAUUUAAGCUCUGGUUCCCAAACGGGAGCAUGGGUUUGAAACCCAUACCUCACA
rnacentral:tRNA from 1 species